rnacentral:rRNA from 1 species
AUGAGCGCUGGCGGCGUGCCUAAUACAUGCAAGUCGAGCGAACAGACGCGGAGCUUGCUCCUUCGACGUUAGCGGCGGCCGGGUGAGUAACACGUAGGUAACCUACCUAUAAGACUGGGAUAACUUCGGGAAACCGGAGCUAAUACCGGAUAAUAUUUCUAACCGCAUGGUUCGAUAGUGAAAGAUGGCUUUGCUAUCACUUAUAGAUGGACCUACGCCGUAUUAGCUAGUUGGUAAGGUAACGGCUUACCAAGGCAACGAUACGUAGCCGACCUGAGAGGGGGAUCGGCCACACUGGAACUGAGACACGGUCCAGACGCCUACGGGAGGCAGCAGAAGGGAAUCUUCCACAAUGGGCGAAAGCCUGACGGAGCAACGCCGCGUGAGUGAUGAAGGUCUUGGGAUCGGAAAACUCUGUUAUUAGGGAAGAACAAACGUGUAAGUAACUGUGCACGGCUUGACGGUACCUAAUCAGAAAGCCACGGCUAACUACGUG